rnacentral:lncRNA from 1 species
GUUCGUGCUAAAGGCCUAUUUCCUAGGUUACAAGGUGAGGGCUUGCUCCUCAUCUAGUUGCAUAGGGGAAAGUCCCUGGAUCUUGGGAAGAAAGUGCCACGUGCUUACACAUGUAGAUUCCCGUGUCUCAUGCUUAGCCCCCCAAGAAGCAAACCAAAACACAGUAAGUUUUAUCAGUGAGAACCCAGAACUUUUAAGAAAAAAUCAAUAAACAGUAGAAUACAGAGCAACAUAUUUUGGAGUCAUAAACCUGUAUAUAAUGAAAUUUGGGGGGCUAGGGUAAAGGUUUGCGACACAAUGCACAUUUAGCAUUCU